rnacentral:rRNA from 1 species
GACGAACGCUGGCGGCGUGCUUAACACAUGCAAGUCGAACGAAGUGGCGAACGGGUGAGUAAUACGUGGGUACCCUGCCCUCCUUGUUGGGAUAGGCCUUGGAUACGGAGUCUAAUACCGGCUCCAGGGGGUUGGGUUCGCGGCUGAUCGGGUUGUUGGGGGGGUGAUGGCCUACCAAGGCGGGGCCGGGUAGACGGCAUGACAGGGUGAACGGCGACAUUGAGACGGAGAUACGGCCCAGAGUACUACGGGGGGGAGCAUGGGGGGAUAUUGGACAAUGGGUGAAAGACUGAUGCCGCGACGCCGCGUGGGGGAUGAAGGCUUUAGGGUUGUAAACCUAGUUAGCAAUCGAAAGGGUAGGUGGAGAAGAAGCGCCGGCUAACUACGUGCCAGCAGCCGCGGUAAUUC